rnacentral:rRNA from 1 species
AGGGCACCACCAGGAGUGGAGCCUGCGGCUUAAUUUGACUCAACACGGGAAAUCUCACCAGGCCCGGACAAUAGAAGGAUUGACAGAUUGAGAGCUCUUUCUUGAUUUAUUGGGGGGGGGGGCAUGGCCGUUCUUAGUUGGUGGAGCGAUUUGUCUGGUUAAUUCCGAUAACGAACGAGACUCUGGCCUACUAACUAGACGUUGGAUCUCUUUGUGGGUCCAUCGCAGCUUCUUAGAGGGACGGGCGGCGUUUAGCCGCACGAGAAUGAGCAAUAACAGGUCUGUGAUGCCCUUAGAUGUUCUGGGCUGCGCGCGCGCUACACUGAAGGAAUCAGCGUGUGUACCCUGCCUGAUAAGGCUGGGAAACCCGAUGAACCUCCUUCCCGAUGGGGAUUGGGGAUUGCAAUUAUUCCCCUUGACCGAGGAAUUCCCAGUAGGCGCGAGUCUAAGCUUGCGUCGAUUACGUUCCUGCCCUUUGUACACACCGCCCGGCGCUACUACCGAUCGAGUGAUUUAGUG